GACGAACGCUGGCGGCGUGCCUAAUACAUGCAAGUAGAACGCACAGUUUAUACCGUAGCUUGCUACACCAUAAACUGUGAGUUGCGAACGGGUGAGUAACGCGUAGGUAACCUGCCUGGUAGCGGGGGAUAACUAUUGGAAACGAUAGCUAAUACCGCAUAAUAUUAAUUAUUGCAUGAUAAUUGAUUGAAAGAUGCAAUUGCAUAACUACCAGAUGGACCUGCGUUGUAUUAGCUAGUAGGUGAGGUAACGGCUCACCUAGGCGACGAUACAUAGCCGACCUGAGAGGGUGAUCGGCCACACUGGGACUGAGACACGGCCCAGACUCCUACGGGAGGCAGCAGUAGGGAAUCUUCGGCAAUUGACGAAAGUCUGACCGAGCAACGCCGCGUGAGUGAAGAAGGUUUUCGGAUCGUAAAGCUCUGUUGUAAGAGAAGAACGGGUGUGAGAGUGGAAAGUUCACACUGUGACGGUAGCUUAACAGAAAGGGACGGCUAACUACGUG
rnacentral:rRNA from 1 species